CCCCCCAGCACCAGCCUUCACAUCCUCUUCAUCAUCAUCAUUAAGACAUCCCCCACCCAGCACCAGCCUUCACAUCCUCUUCAUCAUCAUCAUUAUGACAUCCCCCAGCACCAGCUUUCACAUCCUCUUCAUCAUCAUCAUUAAGACACCCCCCCAGCACCAGCCUUCACAUCAUCAUCAUCAUUAAGACAUCCCCCCCAGCACCAGCCUUCACAUCCUCUUCAUCAUCAUGACGUGAUAUAAGGAGCUAUGACGUGUUAUAAGGAGAAGCUAUGAUGUGUUAUAAGGAGAAGCUAUGAUGUGUUAUAAGGACAAGCUAUGAUGUGUUAUAAGGAGGAGCUAUGAUGUGUUAUAAGGAGAAGCUAUGAUGUGUUAUAAGGAGAAGCUAUGAUGUGUUAUAAGGAGAAGCUAUGACGUGUUAUAAGCUAUGACGUGUUAUAAGGAGAAGCUAUGAUGUGUUAUUAGGAGCUAUGACGUGUUAUAAGGAGAAGCUAUGAUGUGUUAUUAGGAGGAGCUAUGAUGUGUUAUAAGGAGAAGCUAUGAUGUGUUAUAAGGAGAAGCUAUGAUGUGUUAUAAGGAGAAGCUAUGAUGUGUUAUAAUGAGAAGCUAUGACGUGUUAUAAGGAGAAGCUAUGAUGUGUUAUUAGGAGCUAUGGCGUGUUAUAAGGAGCUAUGAUGUGUUAUAAUGAGAAGCUAUGACGUGUUAUAAGGAGAAGCUAUGAUGUGUUAUAAGGAGCUAUGAUGUGUUAUAAUGAGAAGCUAUGACGUGUUAUAAGGAGCUAUGAUGUGUUAUAAGGAGCUAUGACGUGUUAUAAGAAGCUAUGACGUGUUAAGCUAUGAUAGGUUAUAACACAUGACGUGUUUUAAGAAGCUACGAUGUGUUAUAAGGAGCUAUGAUGUGUUAUAACCUGUGUUAUAAGAAGCUAUGAUGUGUUAUAAGGAGCUAUGAUGUGUUAUAAGAAGCUAUGAUGUGUUAUAAGAAGCUAUGAUGUGUUAUAACGUGUUAUAAGAAGCUGUGGUGUGUUAUAACGUGUUAUAAGGAGCUAUGACGUGUUAUAAGGAGCUAUGAUGUGUUAUAAGAAGCUAUGAUGUGUUAUAACGUGUUAUAAGAAGCUAUGAGGUGUUAUAAGAAGCUAUGACGUGUUAUAACGUGUUAUAAGAAGCUAUGACGUGUUAUAAGGAGCUAUGACGUGUUAUAAGAAGCUAUGACGUGUUAUAAGGAGCUAUGACGUGUUAAGCUAUGAUAGGUUAUAACACAUGACGUGUUUUAAGAAGCUACGAUGUGUUAUAAGGAGCUAUGAUGUGUUAUAAGAAGCUAUGAUGUGUUAUAAGAAGCUAUGAUGUGUUAUAACGUGUUAUAAGAAGCUAUGAUGCGUUAUAACGUGUUAUAAGGAGCUAUGACGUGUUAUAAGGAGCUAUGACGUGUUAUAAGGAGCUAUGAUGUGUUAUAAGAAGCUAUGAUGUGUUAUAACGUGUUAUAAGAAGCUAUGAGGUGUUAUAACGUGUUUUAAGGAGCUACGACGUGUUAUAAGAAGCUAUGAUGUGUUAUAACGUGUUUUAAGGAGCUAUGAUGUGUUAUAACGUGUUUUAAGGAGCUAUGAUGUGUUAUAACAUGUUAUAAGAAGCUAUGAUGUGUUAUAAGGAGCUAUGAUGUGUUAUAACAUGUUAUAAGGAGCUAUGAUGUGUUAUAACGUGUUAUAAGGAGCUAUGACGUGUUAUAAGGAGCUAUGAUGUGUUAUAACGUGUUAUAAGGAGCUAUGACGUGUUAUAACGUGUUAUAAGGAGCUAUGACGUGUUAUAACGUGUUAUAAGGAACUAUGACGUGUUAUAACGUGUUAUAAGGAGCUAUGACGUGUUAUAACGUGUUAUAAGGAGCUAUGACGUGUUAUAACGAGCUAUGACGUGUUUUAAGGAGCUACGACGUGUUAUAAGAAGCUAUAAGCGUUCAUACACUGGUUCAUAUUCCAAUGCAUAUUUAAUAAACCAUCGAUGAGUGGAUGAA